rnacentral:rRNA from 1 species
GACGAACGCUGGCGGCGUGCUUAACACAUGCAAGUCGAACGGAAAGGCCCUGCUUUUGUGGGGUGCUCGAGUGGCGAACGGGUGAGUAACACGUGAGUAACCUGCCCUUGACUUUGGGAUAACUUCAGGAAACUGGGGCUAAUACCGGAUAGGAGCUCCUGCUGCAUGGUGGGGGUUGGAAAGUUUCGGCGGUUGGGGAUGGACUCGCGGCUUAUCAGCUUGUUGGUGGGGUAGUGGCUUACCAAGGCUUUGACGGGUAGCCGGCCUGAGAGGGUGAACGGCAAAAUUGGGACUGAGAUACGGCCCAGACUCCGACGGGAGGCAGCAGUGGGGAAUAUUGCACAAUGGGCGGAAGCCUGAUGCAGCAACGCCGCGUGCGGGAUGACGGCCUUCGGGUUGUAAACCGCUUUCGCCUGUGACGAAGCGUGAGUGACGGUAAUGGGUAAAGAAGCACCGGCUAACUACGUG